rnacentral:rRNA from 1 species
AUUGAACGCUGGCGGCAUGCUUUACACAUGCAAGUCGAACGGUAACAGGUCUUCGGAUGCUGACGAGUGGCGAACGGGUGAGUAAUGUAUCGGAACGUGCCCAGUAGUGGGGGAUAACUACUCGAAAGAGUGGCUAAUACCGCAUGAGAACUGAGGUUGAAAGCGGGGGACCUUCGGGCCUCGCGCUACUGGAGCGGCCGAUAUCAGAUUAGGUAGUUGGUGGGGUAAAGGCCUACCAAGCCGACGAUCUGUAGCUGGUCUGAGAGGACGAUCCCCCACACUGGUACUGAGACACGGACCAGACUCCUACGGGAGGCAGCAGUGAGGAAUAUUGGACAAUGGGCGCAAGCCUGAUCCAGCCAUGCCGCGUGCAGGAUGAAGGCCCUCUGGGUUGUAAACUGCUUUUCUACGGGAAUAAACCCCUUUACGUGUAAAGGGCUGAAGGUACCGUAGGAAUAAGCACCGGCUAACUCCGUGCCAGCAGCCGCGGUAAUGUGUG